GCAUAUCAAGACCGGUUACCAGAACGAGCUUGCCUAACCGUAAAGCUGAUGGCUCUUUUGCUGUGUGGGCCCAUCACAAAAGUAGCUCCUGGCUGACAGCAUACGUUACCAAGGUGUUCGCCAUGGCCAACAGUCUGCGGCAGUGCAG